UUGGGUAAUAAAUUUUCCCCCGUCUCUCUCUUCGGGAAUCUCUUUGUUGAUGUUUUUCACGAAAUCAAUUAACAGUUGAUUUUUCAGAAGGAAGAAGCUCGAGAGAUGGAGGCUGCCGUUCUAUUGAAGCCGACGCAUAGGCUCAAGUAUCAUUUUCUCCUCAGCUUCAGCCAUGUCCGGAGAAGAAGAAGAGAACGCUGCCGAACUCAAGAUUGGAGAUGACAAAAGGAAGAGCUCAUAGUGAUGAAGCGAUCGAGAAGAUGCUUAAUGAUCUCUCCUUUGUCAACAGAUUCGAGUAGUUGCGGAAAGUUCUCAAGAUCUAAGAUUAUAAACAUAUUUCAGGGGAUUACAUUCUCCUUCUAAAAUUAGUUUUUCAUGUCUGAGAGUUAGUUUUUCAUGUCUAAAAAUUAUGUUUUCAUGUCUGAAAGUUAGUUUUUCAGGGGACUACAUUAUAAAAAAAAAUUUAGAACCCCAUAGGGGUUCUCCCAUUGGAAGAGGAAAAAAAUAUUUCCACUAACAAAGGUUCUAAUCUUGCCAAAUCACUUUAUUUAAUUUUAAUUAAAUCAUUAGAACCUCUUAGAGGUCCUAACUGAUGGAGUUGCUCUAAGAACUAAGAAGAGAUCAACAAAAGUAUAGUUAGGUAAUGACAUUAGGGUUUGCAUGAUAUAACUAAUGUAUAUGGUUUACGUCAUGUACCAAUAGCACAUUUUAGGUCUGACUUUAUAAGUGAUCGUAAACCAACGAUCACGUUUUGUUGAAAGCUAAUGAUUUGGUACCCCUUAAUUAAUUUAUUUCGUUAAGGCUAUAAACUUGUAAUAGAAAAAAGAAGACGUGAUUUUCAAUUUUCUCGCUUGGUUUAUCAGCUUUCUUUUAUUUUCGGGGAUUUGGUAAGCAGCUCGUGACUCUUUUAUCUAAUUUGCUUCUUUUUCUUUGAUUCAAUGGUGAGGAAAUUGUUAGAGUAAAUUGAUUAACCCCACAAGAAAUAUAUACAUUUUCUUGUGUAUUGGUUGAGACUUGGCCUACCCGACUACAUUUAUCAGUUCACUAGAUUUUCUUUUUUACUUUUUUUCAUUUGUUGGAUUUUGUUCCACUCAAGUCUCCUCGCCCGAGCCAUAAACGGCGUGGUAAGUGUUACCACCCAGAGCUAAAUCAAAGAAACACGACGAUUACAUAACUUAAUAUAAAACACGGUACAAAAAGAGCACUAAGAACUUUUGAAGAAUAUAACACCACAAUAUAAGUGUGAAGCAAAGA